rnacentral:rRNA from 1 species
GCAUUAUACCGUGAAACUGCGAAUGGCUCAUUAAAUCAGUUAUCGUUUAUUUGAUAGUACCUUACUACUUGGAUACCCGUGGUAAUUCUAGAGCUAAUACAUGCUAAAAACCCCGACUUCGGGAGGGGUGUGUUUAUUAGAUAAAAAACCAACGCCCUUCGGGGCUCCUUGGUGAUUCAUGAUAACCUCUCAGAUCGCACGGCCUUGCGCCGGCGACGGUUCAUUCAAAUUUCUGCCCUAUCAACUUUCGAUGGUAAGGUAUUGGCUUACCAUGGUUUCAACGGGUAACGGGGAAUUAGGGUUCGAUUCCGGAGAGUGAGCCUGAGAAACGGCUCACACAUCCAAGGAAGGCAGCAGGCGCGCAAAUUACCCAAUCCCGACACGGGGAGGUAGUGACAAUAAAUACUGAUACAGGGCUCUUUUGGGUCUUGUAAUUGGAAUGAGUACAAUUUAAACCUCUUAACGAGGAACAAUUGGAGGGCAAGUCUGGUGCCAGCAGCCGCGGUAAUUCCAGCUCCAAUAGCGUAUAUUAAAGUUGUUGCAGUUAAAAAGCUCGUAGUUGAAUCUUUGGCCUGGCUGGCGGGUCCGCCUCACCGCGUGCACUUGUCCGGCCGGGCCUUCUCUUCUGGAGAACCGCAUGCCCUUCACUGGGCGUGUUGGGGACCAGGACUUUUACUUUGAAAAAAUUAGAGUGUUCAAAGCAGGCCUUUGCUCGAAUACGUUAGCAUGGAAUAAUAGAAUAGGACGUGCGGUCCUAUUUUGUUGGUUUCUAGGACCGCCGUAAUGAUUAAUAGGGACAGUCGGGGGCAUCAGUAUUCAAUUGUCAGAGGUGAAAUUCUUGGAUUUAUUGAAGACUAACUACUGCGAAAGCAUUUGCCAAGGAUGUUUUCAUUAAUCAGUGAACGAAAGUUAGGGGAUCGAAGACGAUCAGAUACCGUCGUAGUCUUAACCAUAAACUAUGCCGACUAGGGAUCGGGCGGUGUUAUCGAUUUGACCCGCUCGGCACCUUGCGAGAAAUCAAAGUG